UUUCCGACGUCCUUCAUUCCACCGGAGUCUGUCAGGCUUAAACGACAGAUUUCGGGGGAUGAAGUGCAUCGGUCG
ensembl:miRNA pma-mir-205a pma-mir-205a